UUGGAAUAAAUACCAACUUUGACAAAUGAGAGUAAUAAUAACAUCGUGAGUCCGUGACAAGCAAGCACAACUAAUGAACAAAAAUCAAGUAUACACAUUUAAAACUUGUCUACAGUGAAAGUUACAGAGUACAAAAUUACCAACUGCACAGUUAAAUUUAGUAUGGCAGCCUUAGGCCAUGUAGGAAUCGGACAAUAAUAGGCAACAAAACACGUAAAUUUAGCUUAUCGACUUCAGAUCUUCUAAUCUUCCCAUUUACCAAUCUCUUAUCCCUCCAUAAAUCUAACCGUAAGUUCACGAUCCAACCAAAGCUUUAUAAGCCCAGCAUUAUUAACUGCUAAAUUCCAUAAUCAGUUAUCCAUAAUCACUCCCAGCA